GCCAGGUGUGGUGGCAUACACCUGUAAUCCCAGCGCCUUGGAAGGCUGAGACAGGAGGAUGGCAGGUUUGAAGCCAGCCUCGGCAAUGGCAAGGUGCUAAGCAACUAAGUGAGACCCUGUCUCUA
rnacentral:sRNA from 1 species